GUCCACGCCCUAAACGAUGUCAACUAGUUGUUGGGUAUGUAAAUACUUAGUAACGCAGCUAACGCGAGAAGUUGACCGCCUGGGGAGUACGGUAGCAAGAUUAAAACUCAAAGAAAUUGACGGGGACCCGCACAAGCGGUGGAUGAUGUGGAUUAAUUCGAUGCAACGCGAAAACCUUACCUACACUUGACAUGGAUAGAAUCCUGAAGAGAUUUAGGAGUGCUAGAAAGAGAACUAUUACACAGGUGCUGCAUGGCUGUCGU
rnacentral:rRNA from 1 species